rnacentral:rRNA from 1 species
CUCAGGAUGAACGCUAGCGGCAGGCUUAAUACAUGCAAGUCGUGGGGCAGCAUGAGUAGCAAUACUUGAUGGCGACCGGCAAACGGGUGAGGAACACGUACACAACCUUCCUUCAAGCGGGGAAUAGCCCAGAGAAAUUUGGAUUAAUACCCCAUAAUAUAUUUGAUAAGGCAUCUUAUUAAUAUUAAAAGCUUCGGCACUUGAUGAUGGGUGUGCGGCUGAUUAGAUAGUUGGCGGGUAACGGCCCACCAAGUCUACGAUCAGUAGCUGAUGUGAGAGCAUGAUCAGCCACACGGGCACUGAGACACGGGCCCGACUCCUACGGGAGGCAGCAGUAAGGAAUAUUGGACAAUGGACGAAAGUCUGAUCCAGCCAUGCCGCGUGAAGGAUUAAGGUCCUCUGGAUUGUAAACUUCUUUUAUAUGGGACGAAAAAAGGGCAUUCUUGUUCACUUGACGGUACCAUAUGAAUAAGCACCGGCUAACUCCGUG